UAAUACGUAGGGUGCAAGCGUUAAUCGGAAUUACUGGGCGUAAAGCGUGCGCAGGCGGCUUUGCAAGACAGAUGUGAAAUCCCCGGGCUUAACCUGGGAACUGCAUUUGUGACUGCAUGGCUGGAGUGCGGCAGAGGGGGAUGGAAUUCCGCGUGUAGCAGUGAAAUGCGUAGAUAUGCGGAGGAACACCGAUGGCGAAGGCAAUCCCCUGGGCCUGCACUGACGCUCAUGCACGAAAGCGUGGGGAGCAAACAGGAUUAGAUACCCUGGUAGUCCACGCCCUAAACGAUGUCGACUGGUUGUUGGGGGUUUGACACUCUCAGUAACGAAGCUAACGCGUGAAGUCGACCGCCUGGGGAGUACGGCCGCAAGGUUA
rnacentral:rRNA from 1 species